CGUAGCAUAGUUGGAUAAUGCAACGGAUUCCGAUUCCGGAGAUCGGGGGUUCGAAUCCCUCCG
rnacentral:tRNA from 1 species